GCCGGUUAGCUCAGUCAGUUGAGCGUGGCGCUAACAACGCCAAGGUCACAGGUUCGAUUCCUGUGUUCGGUC
rnacentral:tRNA from 1 species